rnacentral:lncRNA from 1 species
CAGACAAGUAAUAUAGUGAAUAGGGAACAUUUGCUUAGACCUGGGGUCCUGGGAGCCUGGCUGUCUUUGGAACAUCAUCAUAGGCAGUCAUUGUGACAGCCCUGGGUGGGAGGGACUGCUUUUUUCAUAUGAAGGACUGGGGCACAGAGUGACCCGCCCAAGAUCACACAGCUUCAGAUGGAGGCCCGUAGGCUACAGAGCCCAGCUCCCUGCCGCUGCGUAGCCUGAGAGUGAGGCCUUUGAAUGAUGCCCUGGACAGAGCUUGGAACAUGAAGGUGAAUACUGUUGUGGGGAGAAUGCAUCCCUUUGCCUGGCUCUGAGCCAGGGCCAGCUUUGGAUCCUGCUAGCCCCAUGGAUAUAGAGAGACUGGAUGGAGUCAGCUCUUCAUCCUUGCAAAGUCCACUCUGUCAACAUACAGGGAAAAAAAUUCUCAGGAAUACGAGCUCUGAGGAGCAUCCUAGCCAGGACUCACACCACUCAAGCAAGAGUCUAACUUCUUGCUAGAGUCCACUCAUCAUGGCUGUCAUGUCAGGUGUGGGGGCGUCAAGGAUGCUUGCUGGGCUUCUGGCUUGAGCAGCUGGGGCAGUGACAAUGUCAUUGAUUGAUAUCAAUGUCAAAGAUGUGGGAAGAAGAGAUGCAGGGUGCUGAGCUCCACUUUGGAUAGGCUGAGUUUGAUAUGCAGAUGGAGAGAUCCUCAAGAAAACUGGACAUAUGGGUUUAGAGCCCAGGAGAAGGCUCUCAGCUGCCGAUAGAGAUUUGGAAUCUGUUACUUCAGUGGUUAGAUGGGAAGCUCCAGAAAGGAAACUUUUCAGAAGGGAAACUUGCCUGAUGACAGUGAAUAGAACGAGAAGAAAUGAACCCUGCAUGUUGAAGAUGUACUCAGAGGUCAUGGACCUCAUCACAGAGACCCAGAAAAAUAAAC